rnacentral:rRNA from 1 species
GACGAACGCUGGCGGCGUGCUUAACACAUGCAAGUCGAAAGAAGUGGCGAACGGGUGAGUAAUACGUGGGUAACCUGCCCUCCUUUUUGGGAUAAGCCUUGGAAACGGGGUCUAAUACCGAAUAAAGGGGGAUGGGCUCGCGGCCUAUCAGCUUGUUGGUGGGGUGAUGGCCUACAAAGGCGGUGACGGGUCGCCGGCCUGAGAGGUUGACCUGCCACAUUGGGACUGAGCUACGGCCCAGACUCCUACGAGGGGCAGCAGUGUGGGAUAUUGCACAAUGGGCGAAAGCCUGAUGCAGCGACGCCGCGUGGGGGAUGAAGGCUUUCGUGUUGUAAACCUGUGUCGCUAUCGAACGGGUACGUGGAGAAGAAGCGCCGGCUAACUACGUGCCAGCAGCCGCGGUAAUAC